rnacentral:rRNA from 1 species
AUGCAAAAAGCCCAGGAAUUGAAACGGAUCAGAAAUUUGGAGGUGCCAAACAAAGCUAAAAAAAGUUCUCAAAACUCUUUUGCUUGUCUGGAUGAUGAUGUUCUUAUCUCCACUACUGAUUGCUCAGGUGAGCUGAAUGAUAUCUGGAAAAAAGAAGAGAUAAAAGCUAGACAGAGGUCCAGGGAGAGGGAGAUCCUGGAAGGUGAUCUCAACACUGGAUACUUUAAAGAUGUGGCAAGCCAAAAAAGGAGGAAGAAACAGAUCCUGAUGCUGGAAAAUGAUGAAGGUAUUGUUACUAACCCAGAAGGUAUUAUGAGUACUGCUGUUAAUUACUAUAAAAAGUUAUUUGGUUUCGUGGAUAAAAUAGAUAUCACUCUGAAAGAUGACUUUUGGAGUGAGAAUGAAUUAGCCUCAGAAGCUCAUAACAAUAUUUUGGACGCAACUUUUACUGAAAAGGAAAUUAAGGAUGCUGUAUUCAGCUCAUAUGCUGAAGGAGCACCUGGCCCGGAUGGAUUUACUUUUUAUUUUAUCAGCAAUUCUGGGACCUUAUUAAAGGCAACCUAUUUGCUCUAUUCCAGGAUUGGGAGAAAGGAGAAUUAG